UCUUCCCUCUGGCGGCGUGCCUAAUACAUGCAAGUCGAGCGAACGGACGAGAAGCUUGCUUCUCUGAUGUUAGCGGCGGACGGGUGAGUAACACGUGGAUAACCUACCUAUAAGACUGGGAUAACUUCGGGAAACCGUAGCUAAUACCGGAUAAUAUUUUGAACCGCAUGGUUCAAAAGUGAAAGACGGUCUUGCUGUCACUUAUAGAUGGAUCCGCGCUGCAUUAGCUAGUUGGUAAGGUAACGGCUUACCAAGGCAACGAUGCAUAGCCGACCUGAGAGGGUGAUCGGCCACACUGGAACUGAGACACGGUCCAGACUCCUACGGGAGGGAGCAGUAGGGAAUCUUCCGCAAUGGGCGAAAGCCUGACGGAGCAACGCCGCGUGAGUGAUGAAGGUCUUCGGAUCGUAAAACUCUGUUAUUAGGGAAGAACAUAUGUGUAAGUAACUGUUCACAGCUUGACGGUACCUAAUCAGAAAGCCACGGCUAAGUACGUG
rnacentral:rRNA from 1 species